UACGUAGGUGGCGAGCGUUGUCCGGAUUUACUGGGCGUAAAGGGUGCGUAGGCGGAUAUUUAAGUCAGAUGUGAAAUUCCCGGGCUCAACCUGGGCGCUGCAUUUGAUACUGGAUAUCUAGAGUGCAGGAGAGGAAAGUGGAAUUCCUAGUGUAGCGGUGAAAUGCGUAGAGAUUAGGAAGAACACCAGUGGCGAAGGCGACUUUCUGGACUGUAACUGACGCUGAGGCACGAAAGCGUGGGGAGCGAACAGG
rnacentral:rRNA from 1 species